GUUGUAUGGUUAAGUGACUAAGCGUACACGGUGGAUGCCUUGGCAGUCAGAGGCGAUGAAGGACGUAUUAACUUGCGAUAAGCCCAGAGAAGG
rnacentral:rRNA from 2 species